GCGGGAUUGGUGUAAUGGUAACACGCGAGUUUUCCAAACUCGAGCCGGGAGUCCGAUUCUCCCAUCCCGCA
rnacentral:tRNA from 1 species